GCCUGCCCAAUGGUUGUAUCUAAAAGCGGUUGAUAAAAGUCGACCGCGUAAGGACAAUUGAAUGGCCGCGGUAACACUGACCGUGAUAAUGUAGNGUAAUCAAUAGCCAAUUAAUUGUUGGCCAGUAUGAAUGGCGCCACGAAGGCCCCACUGUCUUAAGGAAAUUCCCAGUGAAAUUGAAUUCGUAGUGAAGAUGCUACGUCCAAUUUGUUAGACGAAAAGACCCCGUUGAGCUUUACUGGGGCACUUACACGGCCCCGGCCUUCAAGACUGGGUUGAUAAGCCAAGGCUUACCAUACCUAGGGACCGGCCGAAUUUAAAUGGGCGGCUUAGACUAUGUGGCAGCCCCCCCCGUCGGGGCAGAUGAAACCCCACUCCCCCAUGUCAAAGGGGCUAACCCCCCCCCCUUGGGGGGGACAAUGUAAGUAGGACAGUUUGGUUGGGGCGACCGCCUUUUAGAGAGUAACGAAGGUGCGCUUAAGGUGCGUAAUUAAUGACUGAAGCCUGACUGCGAGGGGGACACCCCGAGCAGACACCCCUAAGCCCGCCCUUCAAGGGCGGCGGUGGGGUGGGCCAUAGUGACCCGUUAAUUUAGAGUGGAAUAG
rnacentral:rRNA from 1 species